rnacentral:rRNA from 1 species
ACGGAAGGCAGCAGUGGGGAAUAUUGGGCAAUGGGCGCAAGCCUGACCCAGCAACGCCGCGUGAAGGAAGAAGGCUUUCGGGUUGUAAACUUCUUUUGUCAGGGAAGAGUAGAAGACUGUACCUGGCGAAUAAGCCACGGCUAACUACGUGCAGCAGCCGCGGUAAUACGUAGGUGGCAAGCGUUGUCCGGAAUUACUGGGUGUAAAGGGCGUGUAGCCGGGUCGGUAAGUCAGAUGUGAAAUCCACGGGCUCAACUCGUGAACUGCAUUUGAAACUGCUGAUCUUGAGUAUCGGAGAGGCAAUCGGAAUUCCUAGUGUAGCGGUGAAAUGCGUAGAUAUUAGGAGGAACCCCGGUGGCGAAGGCGGAUUGCUGGAGGACAACUGACGGUGAGGCGCGAAAGCGUGGGGAGCAAACAGGAUUAGAUACCCUGGUA